UAACAUGGUGUAAUAGAGUAGCGCGUGGUGUAACAUGGUAGUACAUGGUGUAAUAGGGUAGUGCAUAGUGUAACAUGGUAGUACAUGGUGUAAGAGUAUAGUGCACAGUGUAAGGCUCUUCAUCUCCCUCCACUGGCUUCCGGUAGCCGCCCGUAGCAAAUUCAAUGCAUUGUUGCUCACGUACAAGACCUUGUCUGGAACAGCACCACCCCACCUCAACACUCCUUGAAGUUUAUGUUCCCUCACGCAACCUGCGCUCGGUUAACCACCGACGCCUGGUAGUGCCUACUCAGCGAGGCAUGAGGUCCCUUUCCAGAACCUUCACACUGACUGUCCCUCAGCGGUGGAAUGAACUUCCAACCUCAACCCGGACAGCAGAAUGUGUCACUUAUCUCCAAAAAACGGCUAAAGACCCACCUCUUCCGUGAGCACUGAACUAUAACCCCUACGUAACCCUAGCUAAGUAUUUUUUUUCCCUGAAUACGGUCGGAAGGUCUUUUUUAGGUGGGAGAUACAGGCUUCAUGUUUACUUUCCUGCACAGUGUGCUUGAUUGAACUGAUUGGCCAAUAGCCAAAAAUGUGCAGCAUUCCGGAAACCGCUAACCUUCAACAAAGCGGUGAAUCUUAAGCACAAACGCUGUUUGCCUGUGGUUAGUCACUUUAAGCUGCUUCACACCGUUUGACCUGAAAAGAGCCCCAGCUGCAGAUGGAAUCGCUCUGUCUUUCCUUCCUUCCUCUCCCACUCUCCGUAAGAGCAAUCGGAGGGGAAACGGACGCGGAGGAAUGCGCUGAAGAAUCCGGAUGUCCGUUCCCAGACCCGACAUGCCACUGUGCAUCCUCAGCAGCAUUUUUAUGCUUAUUCUUUUUGGCAGACGGCUUUUAACCGAGACACGUUACGAGCGAAAGAGGAUAGAGGCCAAGCACAAAGCUGAUACGUUCUCGCUCAAGGGCGCAACUCUGGUAGAUCUUGGACUUGGCCUCACCGCCUUGUGGUCACUAAUAGAGAACUUUGACGGCGCUCCGACUGCCUCCCUCACUGGCAACAGUACAAUCCAGUACAGGUCAGGUCUGAUUUUAAGAAUCCAGAAUCCAGAGAUGCCAAAUUGUACAGUUUAGUCUGGAGUCAUAUGAAAGACUUUUGGCAGCGCUUAUUUUGGCUUCCGACGUAAUCUAUAUCAAAUUCGACCUGUGGAUUGACAAGCCUCGGGCUUGUGAGCCAAUAGAAACCAAGUGGGCGGGGUUGUGGUCUCUUCGGUCCCUAAAAAUUGGAGGAACUCUUACUAAAAAAAAAAGCCACCAAAUCCACCAACAUGUGCAAGGGCUUUUUGUGGUUGCGAUGUAUUUUAUUCUCCCCGCGCGCUUGGAUUUUCUCGUUAGAAUAUCGGCACCUCGGCGAAUCCGACCCGGAGUCGCUCGGUCCUUCAGAGAUACCCGCACAUUAUAUUUAUCCGUCGGUGAGCGGUAAUUAAAUGCCGCGAUGCGGAUCGACCUCGGCAGAGUACGAGCUAACGCGGGAUCGCUUUCCCGGGUUUCUCCGUCGACGGACUCAUUUCGACCCGAAAUUCACCGCGGUAAUUCACCGUGACAUGCUUCCCCUCGAAGCAAACCGAUUCCGAAAUCUCCCCCGUCUCUUUCGGGUUCCUCUUUGAACGCGUGGCGAUUAUCUCGUAGUUAUUGCUUUUCUCAAACAGAGGAAGUUUGCAGUGAAGUCACUGGCAGAACAGGGGAAACUGAAGUGAAGUCACAGGCACGACACUUACUCGCCGUCACUCUGCAUAAACGAAAAAAACACACACACACACACACACAUCAGAGAGGAGAUUUGUGCUGACGUAGGCCGUGGUAGAGGAGUUCCACGGAGAGAAAUGUGAGAGUUUAUUCGUUAGAUUAGAACUCUUUGAACUGGACACCAGGUGGACUUUGAGAGGUUCUGCUGUUUCUCUGGAAUGUUACAAACGUGCUAAAGACUUCCCCUGGUCUUCCGUGGGAGUGCUGAACAGGGGCUUUCUACUGCGUCCAGUAAAAUCUGCUACUUCCUUUUUACAGAUUAUAUCACAUAUGUACAGAGUUCACAUCAGGAAGUGUGCCUUCGUCGGAACAGUCGUUUGCGAUUGGAUUAAAACUGAACGUCAGUAUUUUUUUAAUUUUUUUUUGUCUUGCUUCACUUAUUUGGACUCGCGGUGGAAUACUCGCGGUCUUUCUUCAGUCAGACAAGGAGAUGCUCUCUGGAUUGGACGUGGGAAACAAGACUCUGGACUGAACAUCAGAUCAAAAGAAGUCUGACUUGUAGGUACUCCCUAGACUUAAAUCCAGUCUUGCUUAGAUAAACCAAGAGGCAUGCUUUGAUAAACGCCAGCUUUCAGUAGUUAGAUCAGACGAUACUCUCUGAGCUAAACACGACGUUUAUUCUGGACCGGACCCCGGAUCCGAAGUGUGAGAACUGCAGGUCGGGUCCGGCGUUAAAGAGGUAGGCUUUCUGGACCGAACGGCGUUCUUUGAUUUGAAGAUAUUACGCUUUGAGGAGUUAGAUCAGAUUCUUUCUGGACCGAACGGCGUUCUUUGAUUUGAAGAUAUUACGCUUUGAGGAUUAGAUCAGAUUCUUUCUGGACCGAACGGCGUUCUUUGAUUUGAAGAUAUUACGCUUUGAGGAGUUAGAUCAGAUUCUUUCUGGACCGAACGGCGUUCUUUGAUUUGAAGAUAUUACGCUUUGAGGAGUUAGAUCAGAUUCUUUCUGGACCGAAUGUUAGUCAUGAGGAAAAAAAAAAAACGUUAUCAUGAGAAAUAUUCUCAGCUGUAUUCUCAGGAACAAGCGCUGUUUAUUUCUUUUAAAGGUUUAGACAAGGAGACGCCGUCUGAUCUGGACACCGGGCAUCUGUUUUAAAGAAUUAGACAAAGUAGCGGGCUGAACGCUAUAGUUUUACGAACGGUUAUAGACUUCAUUUCAGAGACGUCGAUUAGGACCGUUCUAGACUGUAAAGAAUUUCUGAGAGGAUUGACCAUGAGACACUCUCUGGAUCGGACGCCUUUGUUCAUUGCGAGGAUUUCGACAAGGAGACGCUGUCUGAUCUGAUCAAACACCGCCGUUUAUUUGAAGUAAUUUGCUCGGGUUCUUUCCGGACACCCGGUUUUGAGAAGUAUCAGGAAAAAACAUUCUCAAGUGUAUUCGCUGGACCAAACAUCAUUGUUUAUUGUACGGUUUUAGACAAGGAGACACAGUCUGAUCUGAACCAUAGCUUACUAGGUUUAAAUACUAAACUUGCACUGUGGCAGUUGUACUGUAUACGUUGCCAUGAUACUCUACACACAGAAACCCAACAGGACCCCGGCUAAUCUUUAAAGAAAAGAAUUUUCAUUUGUUUAUACUGGUUGGAAAUGUCAGAUAAGUGGUUGAAAUGGACGAGUCCAGAACGGUUCUAGACGGUUAAACCCGGGAGAUGUUCUGGACUCAACUAGGGGAAAGCCGAACAAGUGUAACUAGAAAAAAUAUUCGGAAAAAGAGUGGAUUGAGGAAUUAGACCUGUACAACAGCUCUGGGUUUUUUUUUGUUUUUGAGACCGUUAGACUGGAAUGAAGCAGGAGAAAGUCUCACGACUGGAUAACAUUUCUGAGAAGAUGUUAUCUGAGGUGACCAUGAGACCAUGUCUGGACUGAACAUCAUUGUUUAUUUGAAGCAUUUAGACGAGGAGACGCUAUCCGAUCCGAUCACUGUCGAUUGUUUUAAAGAAUUAGAUUAGAAGAAACACUAGUGGACUGAAUGCUAGUUGGAGGAAUGUUAGACCAGAAGAAGAGUCCUGGAUUUUUAUUUUUAUUUAUUUAUUUAUUUAUCUAUCUAUUUUUGAGACAGUUAGACCAGGAACAUGUUCUGAACUGGACCAGAACUCAUGGCUGUGAACAAUUUCGAAGUUUCAUCAUACGAUACUGUUUAGACUGACCACCAUCGUUCACGUCGGAACGUUUCGAAUUAUGAGACACUGUCCGAUCUGAUCCGAUCACUGAAGUUUCUUCUGAGGAAUUAGAUCAGAAGGUGCGUCUAAAUGAAACCAAGUUCUUGGAAUCAGACCAAAAGAACAGUACCGGGCUUUAUUCUUUUCCAGAAUAUUCUAGACUUAUAAACCAUAACAGAGUUUGACCAUGUGACCAACGAGGCUCUGGCUCGAACUGUGUGUUUUAGGUGAGAUAUUCUCAGGUGUAUAAUCUGGACUGAACACUCGCUAUCGGAUCUGAUUAACACACCGCGCUUGUAUUUUGAGGAAUUUGAUCGGAAGAUUAUUUCUAAACUGGAGCUGAAGGUUAGACCGAGGACACACUCAUUUUAUGAAUUUUAGACCGGAAGAAUGGUUCCGGACUAGGAAAAUAUUCCGUAGAGAACGUAAACUGAGACCUUUUUUUUAUUUUUUUUAUCUUGACCGAACACCGGUGUGUUUUUUUUUAACGAGUUAGACAAAGAGACGCGAUCUAAUCUGAUCUGAUCUGAUCCGAUCUGAUGAGGAGUUUGAUCAGAAGGUUAUUUCUAAACUGAAAGCAGUUUUAUGAGAAACUCGUUUUAGGAGGUAGACCAGAAGAACGGUUUGGACUUUUUUUAAAAAAAAUAAAAACAAACAAAAAAAAAACGAUACAGUUAGACUUCGGAAAACAUUCUGGACUGAACCAGCGUUCGCGUUUGUAAAUCCUUUUCUGAGAAGAUCGGUCUCGCGGGACUGAGCACCAUUGUUUAUUUUGACGAUUUAGCCGAACCCAAUCUGGUUUGGUGUUUGUUUCGAGCGGUUAGAUCUAGAUUGACGAGCAUUUCUGAGGAAUUAGCGUGAACGAUUGAACUCCAGGAGACUCAGAUCUGUUUCUUUCCUGCUCUACAGGGCCAACUGGAAGUGACUCUUUCUCAGCCGGCUCGAUCAGCCAAUGGCACGCCCAGGUGAGUUCACCUCAUUUAUUGUUCCAUCGAGGCUGAAACUUUACGGCGCACACUUACCCAGCCAGCUCGAGAGCGCACGAGAGGCUGUGGGAUCACGACGCGAAGGUUUUUACGACUAAACGCGGGCCAGAAAUGGUUUUUGUCAUGUGAGUUCUUUGGACAAUGAAAGUGAGAGGUGUAGAAUUUCCCUGCUUUGCUGCGGGACUCGCUUUCAACCUCUGAAAAUCUCCAACUUCCUUUUUGAGCGACAGAUAAAACAACCACAUGACGUGUUAGACAGUAUUACACACGCACACACACGCGCGCGCGCGCGUGCGUGCGUUUUUACAAGGGGACAUAAAGCGGUCGCACCAUAUGACACGUAUUUCACUCAGACAUACGUUUAAAUGUUUAACGUGUAGAUUCAGUUACUCAUUCUGAACUGGCAUUUUAAGACUGUAAGUACAUUAAUAUACACACAUGUACAUACACACACACACACACACACACACACACACACACACACACACACACACACACACACUCCUUCAUAGGACAGGAGCUGUAGAUAACAGAAAUUUAAAUAAAUCAUGUCACAGAUUCAAUACUGUUGCCAAGGUGUGUGUGUGUGUGUGUGUGUGUGUGUGUGUAAGAAAGUGAAGCCAGACAGGAUAUCCAGCACGUAGACUCAGUUAGUGCAUGGUGAGUCAGGGUGUUUAACGGCCAGCAGAGGUGAGUGGAUAAGUUACUGUACACACUUAACACACACACACACACACGCACACACACACAAACACACACAAGUACACAUGCAUACACGCGUCCUUUUGCUCUCUGCUCCUUGGCUUCUCUGUGGAAUGCUCUGGCACGGCUCUUAAGUAAACAGCGGUAUUUUUAGUACGGGUCGAACAGAGCCUUUCUUAAUCACUGUCUCCCCGUAUUCCCACCAUCCCCGAGUGAGAGAAAGACAGACAGGAAAAGACAGACGAGAGAGAGAGACAGGCGUUUUAAAAAAGGCAUUCAUAGAUAGUGGGCGGAGAUUACAAAUUGACCUACCAGUACCCUAACAUGUUUCAUAAAGCUGCUGAGUAAAGUGUCUCUCCAGGACAGAACAGGACCUUUCUAGGUCACGUACACAUUUUUAACGCGAUUAUCUCUCAGGAAAAAAAGGGGAAACAUUUGGUAUGAAGGCCAAUCAGUUGCGUAAUAAUCGUUUAAAUAGAAGAAUAUACAUUAUGCCGAUUUCUGAAUCCACCCGAACGUGAAGAACACAGAGCUGUUGCUCAAUGAAGGAUUACAAAAUUCUGUAAAUAAUUACUUAAAAAUAUCUAUUUUUUUAAAAUUUAAUCAAGACUUUAUUUUCUGUUUUUGGUCAUCAGUCCAAAUAUCUAGAACAUAUCGCUGUAAACAUGGCAUGUUUGUUUCACUUCUUGUAGGUGUGUCGAUUUAGAAUCACUUACAAUUGAAUUGCACUGUAGGUGAGUCGAUUCGGACUCACUUGCAAUCGAAACGCACUGUCGGUGGGUCGAUUCAGAAUCGCUUGCAAUAGAAUUGCACUGUCGGUGAGUCGAUUCAGAAUCACAUGCAAUCGAAUUGCACUGUAGGUGAGUCGAUUCCGAAUCGCUUGUAAUCGAAUAGCACUGUAGGUGAGUCGAUUCAGAAUCACUUGCAAUUGAAUUGGGCUGUAGGUGAGUCGAAUCAGAAUCACUUUGUCACUGGAAUUGAAAUGCGCUGUAGGUGAGUCGAUUCAGAAUCACUUUCUCACUACAGUCAAAUUACGUGAUAGGUCAGUCGAUUCAGAAUAAUUUUCUCACUGGAAUUAAAUUACACUGUAAGUAAGUCUAUUCAGAAUCAUUUUCUCACUACAAUCAAACUGUGCUGUAGGUGAGUCGAUUCAGAAUAAUUUUCUCACUGCAGUCAAAUAACACUGUAAGUGAGUCGAUUCAGAAUCAUUUAUGACUGUAAUCAAACUGUGCUGUAGGUGAGUCAAUUCAGAAUCACCGACACACCAACAGUAGAGUUCCUACAUAUAAAAGUUGUCACGAUAUCCUUGAUAUUGCAGAAAUGUGUAUUGUGACAUAACUUAUAACAAUAUUGAUAAUAUAUCAUCAUAUCACCCAGCCCACAUAGGGUGUAACAUAAUGGUGGUGAACCUACACAGUGCACUUGAUUCCCAAUAAAACACCAUCUGAGGUUCAGCCACAAUAGACGAGCGAUUUGCUGGAACUCUAUCUGUUAUCGGACAAAAGCUUUGUUAUAUACAAGCAAAGAAACUCAAAUACAUAAUUAUAAUUAUACAAGAAUACGUAAGAAGAUAAUUUGUGUACAAAUUGAACUCUCCAGGAUCUCUGAUAAUAUGCAGGUCUGUGUUUAGGCUGUUGUUUUAAUAAGUGCAGAUUUGUUGUGGAAAACAGCUGGAAUACGGCGAUGUUCUCGGUUUAGCUAGAAUUCGGGAGAGCAGAGGGAGAGGUUAUGUGUAAAAAUCACAGCUGGGGCUCAUAUUGACCCACGGCUGCACGACGGUGGUGGAGGAGGAGGAGGAGGAGGAGGAGUGGUAGUAGUAAGGUGGGGGAGGUGAACAAAGCCCGAGCCCACUCUCCCUGCCUGCAGCCGCCCACUCGUUUCCCAGAGUCCUCGGCAGCGCCGUGUCGCCCGCGAGGGGCCCGCGAGGCGACUUCCUGUCAGAGAGCGACGGCGAAGCAGGAAGCAAUUUGUCAUGCAGGAGCAACGCGCACAGGGAACGUGGAUCGCUCCGAACCGAAACAUGGCACUCUUAAAAGGACACGGGUGAGAAGGACAGGAACGGGAACUCGCACGACGAGAACAAACGAGCGGCGCAGAGAACGCAAGCUCGCCACCUUGUUUUUUUGGGGAAGUGAAAGCAAACGGAAAAUCCUCCACAGUCCAUAUAGAUCCCGAACACCUUUCACCCUUCCUCCCCCGUACAUCUCUCUCUCUCUCUCCCUUUCUCCUCCACCAUCCAGCAUGAAAUCUGAGCGAUAUUAAUGCUGCCAGAGCUGUAAAGUUGUGGUCUGUGCGUCUUUUCUCUUUGGAGCGGAGCACACGCUAAGCAGAACCAUAUGUGCGCCCCAUAUGAACAGGAAACUGCUGGAAAUAAAGAAAGAAGGGAGGAGGCGCAGGGUGGAAGAGGAGGGAGCGAGUCUAGGUUCUGUGUACCCGCUGUAAACUCGGUGUCUCUGUUUAGUCAGUAACUAGAGCACGUUACUGACCCAGUUUUUCAUUAUUGGGGACACACACACACACACACACACACACACACACACACACACACUAAUUAAUGCUUAGCUUCGAAAACAGCAACUCUUCCUAUUUAAGCCUCCAACACACAUUGAAUACAAAAUGGCUUCCUAAUCACAUAAUCCAGUCGAUCAUGUUGAAUUCUUCGUUCUGAUUGGUCGGAAAGUGUUUAACGUUCUAUAAUAGCAGCUCUGAGAGCAGGCUGUAAACGAGUCAGUAACGAAUAUGUUUAUGGUGUAAACGUCGCUAUGUGACAAAGGAAAUGUCGAUACGGUGACGUUUUCUUCACGGAAGGAGUCUCCGGUGUCAGUGCUCUGUAGGAUUUUGCGGCAAGCAAUCUUGUGCAAUUUUGCCAGUUCAAGUCCAUUUUAAAAAAGCACAAAAAAAAACUCCAAAUGCAACAUAUUUGGCUCGGGGAAGUCACGGGAAAGUUUUCCCGACCGAGAACGUCGCGCUUUCUGGUUUCUCUGGAACAUGACAAGCGGCGUGGGGUUUUAUUCGUUUAUUUCUCGUCUCAACGUCCGAAGAAUAGAAAGCGACCGGUGAGGGAACGGCUGCCAUUAAACGAAGCCCUUAAAGGGUCGAAGGUCACCGGGCAAUGCUCGGAGACCUCUGCAGGUAGUGUGUGGACUUGUGUGUGGGAUUAUUACACGUCGCUCAAGGCUAACGGUUUAAUCGUCGAGCCGUUGAUAGAGAUCAGAUUUUAGCCCUUCAUGACCAUGCGUCACCGUUUAGAAUCAGACCCGUCCAAGCCAAGCAGCGCUCGGUCUAAUCGUUAACGACAGUGUCGUUUAACGCGUCGCGUUUUUUUCUGGAGCCGCGUCUCAUUCACUGACCGGCCGCGUGUCGGGUAAAAGCGCAGGUCCUCACCGAAUCGUCUGAAGGCCACCACGUCCGCACGUCACGCUCGGCCUUUAAAAAAACAACAGGACAAACACACACUCAGGCCUGGCCCCGAUUUUAUCAGGCUUUAAAGGCGUGGACGCGUUUUGUUUUUUUUAAUAGAGCGGACACACGUAUAUCGGUAUAUAACCGUGCGUGCGGAUUCAACUUACAAUAGUCGAUUGUGUUUGCGUGUUAUCAGUCAGUCGCACAUUCAAACCGAAGUCCGGCGCUGUUUAGACAGACAAGCGUGUCGGGGAAAAGGUCAGAGGUCAGCACGGAGCGGGAGGUUUUUCUGAGUGCGCACGCUGAUAAUUGGUCACGACACGGACGGAAUAAAAACGCGAAAGGCAACCGUGUCAAGAUCCUUUCUUCCUCCACACUUUGGCCUCUCCAUCACUUUGGUAUGACGUUACAUAGCUUCUUUGUGUGACAGAGAAAGAACGUGUUCGUUAUUAUGUUUAGCAUCCGGCACGUCCCCGGGCGAGUCCCUGUGAAUGAGCCGCUACCGUGGAAACGCUAACGUAUCGGAACUACCGUCAGAGCUGCAGUUAUCGAAGACGAAUCCAUACCUUCUAACCAAUCAGCGCUGUGGUAGGAAUUGCAUACAAUGGAAACCAGUGGUAUUGUUAGCGGUGUCGCUACGCUCGAGUACGACGCAGAAAGCAUCUGUCUUCUAAAGUGUCCUGUCAAAUAUGAAGCACAAACUGUGUUUUUUUUUUUUUGUCUCCGUUAUGGGACGGCGAGAUAGAAUAUAGACUAGACUGUUGUGCGUCCGUGGUCUAGACAGCGGUUAAAAGCAUCCGAGCUCAGUCUUUAUCGGCUCUCAAUCUGCUCUGCGUUCUGUGUGUCAUCGACUCUACUCUUUCACAAUCCCUCCACCUCUCGUCCUCUAUUCUGCUCCGUAAGCCUUGUACGUAGAGGCAUACGUAUUUGUCGUGCCUCUAAAAGAAACACGGACGGGUCACAGCGUCUUUCUUAGACACGCGCUAACGCUAUCGUAACGUAUAAUAGUAGCUAGCGCGGACAGCAUGGUUCAUUCGCGUUCGUUUCUCCAUUCUGGGAUUAUGCUAACGCUAGGUCAAGUCCAGCCCCGUGUUUUCAAGCGGUGACCCGAGGCAGCAUUUUCCCGCCGCUCUCAUUUAGCCGGCUCGCUAGUUAGCCAGCAAAGCAACACUUCAUACAGUCAUAUUUUCAUACAGAAGAUAUCUCGGCUUCGUUCUCAGCUUUUAGUUCGUUAGCUAGCAUGCGUAAGAUGAGCAGUAGCUAGUAAAACCUUCUGGGUGUUCCAGAAUCAGGCUAGCAAAAAAAAAAAAAAAGUCGUUAGCAUGUAGAAGGGACGUGUAUACUUUCACACAGGGGGUUACCGGUUAUCGAAUCACGGACGUCCUGGACGUUCAAACGCAGCUAAACAAUUUAUUAGCAAUUCAUAGUGAUGACGUAGCCAGCUAGCGCUCGAUAGCGUUCCGGCUAACUUACAGAGCUGCAAAUGAUCCUUUGAAGCAUGGACAGUAAUGUUAGCUCGUUUUAACGUGAUCGGAGGUUUCAGGGGUGAAAAAAAAAAGGGAAGUACAGACGUCUGUGG
ensembl:lncRNA